ensembl:lncRNA
CCCCCCCUUUCCCUAAUGAUGAUGUUUAGUCCUAGUAGGUCCCCCCUUUCCCUAAUGAUGAUGUUUAGUCCUAGUAGGUCUCCCCCUUUUCCCUAAUGAUGAUGUUUAGUCCUAGUAGGUCUCCCCCUUUCCCUAAUGAUGAUGUUUAGUCCUAGUAGGUCCCCCCCCUUUCCCUAAUGAUGAUGUUUAGUCCUAGUAGGUCCCCCCCUUUCCCUAGUGAUGAUGUUUAGUCCUAGUAGGUCUCCCCCUUUACCUAAUGAUGAUGUUGUUCAGUCCUAGUAGGUCCCCCCCCUUUCCCUAAUGAUGAUGUUUAGUUCUAGUAGGUUAGUCUAGAAUACACACACAAGCUGCUAGCUUACAGCAGGACUUACAUGUUUGUCUGUUGUGGUGCAGGCUUGGUCUAGUCCAG